CAGUAGCCACGGUAAUACGUAGGUGGCAAGCGUUGUCCGGAAUUAUUGGGCGUAAAGCACGCGCAGGCGGGUAGGUCAGUCUGUCUUAAAAGUUCGGGGCUUAACCCCGUGAUGGGAUGGAAACUGCCAAUCUAGAGUAUCGGAGAGGAAAGUGGAAUUCCUAGUGUAGCGGUGAAAUGCGUAGAUAUUAGGAAGAACACCAGUGGCGAAGGCGACUUUCUGGAUGAACACUGACGCUGAGGCGCGAAAGCCAGGGGAGCGAACGGGAUUAGAUACCCGCGUAGUCCCUGUCUCUUAUACA
rnacentral:rRNA from 1 species